UGUCAGUGUCCUUUAGAGGCCUGGGGCUCUCCUGCGCCUCCUGUUCCCAGGCCUCAGCACUCUGACAGGGCCAGGCAGCCUGUGAAAUCACACCUCUCAGCUGUUCGCACUACACUCGAGACACCCUAUACCCACUGCUCACUCUUCUACUGAAUGUCAACGGCUCCUUAAAAAUGGAGCGUUUUGGGGGCAGGGAUGACUGGGAGACAACUGUGAGGAGUUUUUUAUUGGAGUAGAGCAGAAAAUGGCUCCAGCAACACAGCUGAGUGUGAAGUUUUUCAUUUUACUGUAGUGGCUGUGGACUGUAUCACAAAUAGGGAUCACUUCCAUGUCUGAAGCUGGAAACAGGAGAGCGCAGGGAAAUGUGAACAGGGAAGCAAACACUUCAUGGCCACUAAGGUCAACACCUGUGUUCUAAACUCAGCCAGAGAGGCAGGAGUGUCAGACACAUGGCCUAGAAAUAACUGAUGAAGAUCUGAUUAUGGCACUGACUCCCACAUACAUCCCUUAUUUAAGCAUGUUACCUUAACACUAUCCAUUUGCUUAAAUCAAUAAAAUAAAUAAAUAUAUAUUUAAG